rnacentral:rRNA from 1 species
AUUGAACGCUGGCGGCAUGCCUAACACAUGCAAGUCGAACGGUAACAGGCCCUUCGGGGUGCUGACGAGUGGCGGAUGGGUGAGUAAUACUUAGGAAUCUACCCUGUAGUGGGGGACGAACCCGGGGAAACGUCGGGCUAAUACCGCAUACGCUCUACGGAGGAAAGCGGGGGACCGGCAAGGCCUCGCGCUAUUGGAUGAGCCUAAGCCCGAUUAGCUAGUUGGUGGGGUAAUAGCCUACCAAGGCAAUGAUCGGUAGCUGGUCUGAGAGGACGACCAGCCACACUGGGACUGAGACACGGCCCAGACUCCUACGGGAGGCAGCAGUGGGGAAUAUUGGACAAUGGGCGAAAGCCUGAUCCAGCGAUGCCGCGUGUGUGAAGAAGGCCUGC